rnacentral:rRNA from 1 species
UGAGAGUUCAAGAGGGCGUGAAACCGCUUAGAAGCAAACAGAUGGAGCUGAUGAAAAGUCGGUGGGCUUCAGUGCCUGGUGCUGCCCAGUGUCAGCGGUGGAUUUCACACCGCCUGCUGAUUACGUGAGGGAUUGGCCCAGGCGUGCAUUUCCGCCGAUGCGCGCUGGAAGCUGUGCUAGCGCCGGAACAAGGCCGGCGAAUGUAAGCCAAUCUUGUUGGUCUCUCGUUGCUGGCGAAAGCCGGGUCGCUGGUACAGUAUUGCGACACCCGCCUCAACUCUGUUCCGCUGGGGAUCCUGGCCGGGUAUUGCUGUCUCUUGCGUGCAAGGUUCAGCUGCUUCGGCCGGGUAAGCGGCGGCGUUCAGAGUCGGUGUCAUUCUGGUGUCUCUGUCAGCCACCCAUCUGACCCGUCUUGAAACACGGACCAAGGAGUCUAACAUGUGCGCGAGUCA